rnacentral:rRNA from 1 species
UACAGAGGUCUCAAGCGUUGUUCGGAUUCAUUGGGCGUAAAGGGUGUGUAGGUGGCGCCGUAAGUCGGGUGUGAAAUCUCGGAGCUUAACUCCGAAACUGCAUUCGAUACUGCGGUGCUUGAGGACUGGAGAGGAGACUGGAAUUCAUGGUGUAGCAGUGAAAUGCGUAGAGAUCAUGAGGAAGACCAGUGGCGAAGGCGGGUCUCUGGACAGUUCCUGACGCUGAGGCACGAAGGCCAGGGGAGCAAACGGG